UUGAACGCUGGCGGCAGGCUUAACACAUGCAAGUCGAGCGGAUGAAAGUAGCUUGCUACCGGAUUCAGCGGCGGACGGGUGAGUAAUGCUUAGGAAUCUGCCUAUUAGUGGGGGACAACGUUCCGAAAGGAGCGCUAAUACCGCAUACGUCCUACGGGAGAAAGCAGGGGACCUUCGGGCCUUGCGCUAAUAGAUGAGCCUAAGUCGGAUUAGCUAGUUGGUAGGGUAAAGGCCUACCAAGGCGACGAUCUGUAGCGGGUCUGAGAGGAUGAUCCGCCACACUGGGACUGAGACACGGCCCAGACUCCUACGGGAGGCAGCAGUGGGGAAUAUUGGACAAUGGGGGGAACCCUGAUCCAGCCAUGCCGCGUGUGUGAAGAAGGCCUUUUGGUUGUAAAGCACUUUAAGCGAGGAGGAGGCUACCUAGAUUAAUACUUUAGGAUAGUGGACGUUACUCGCAGAAUAAGCACCGGCUAACUCUGUGCCAGCAGCCGCGGUAAUACAGAGGGUGCGAGCGUUAAUCGGAUUUACUGGGCGUAAAGCGUGCGUAGGCGGCCAAUUAAGUCAAAUGUGAAAUCCCCGAGCUUAACUUGGGAAUUGCAUUCGAUACUGGUUGGCUAGAGUAUGGGAGAGGAUGGUAGAAUUCCAGGUGUAGCGGUGAAAUGCGUAGAGA
rnacentral:rRNA from 1 species